UAGUGUUUGGAUAGUAGAAACAACGGCCAAAGCAUCAUUCUUAUUUUUCAUGACAACCAAAGUAAAGAAUAGCCCGUUGAGAAAAUCCAUUUCCUUUUGACGUGUAAAAUUAUGAUCACUAAGGCUCUUAUUUGAAAUGAAAUUGUACUUUUGAAAGGUUCAAAUGGGAGAACAAUUGAUAAAAUCUGUAUAGACAUAGAAACGAAAAGCCUAAAGUAUCAUUCCAAAUUUUCAAAACAAAUAAGAA
rnacentral:lncRNA from 1 species